AUUUAUUUGUUAGUUCUAGAUUUUUUUCUUCAGAUUUUGUACAUAGGAGACAAAAUAGGGAGCGACAAAGAAAUGACCUCUGACACGUUGGCCAAGAAAGGAGCGGCCGACCAAACCCUUAAAUAUGUCAGCUUGGUAACAUUGACGGGACAGAAUGCAGUGCUCGGACUGAGUAUGCGGUAUGCUAGAACAAGACCUGGAGACAUGUUCAUCUCUACUACAGCAGUUGCAAUGUCGGAGCUAGUGAAGUUGUUUGCUUGCCUACUGCUAGUGUGGAAUGAUGAAGGGAAAAGUUUAAAGAACUGGUGGGGAGCUCUGGAUAGCACUAUUAUCAAGCAACCCAUUGAUACACUCAAGGUUUGUGUUCCUUCCUUCAUCUACUUAAUUCAAAACAAUCUUCUUUAUGUUGCUGCAUCUAACCUAGAUGUCGCCACCUAUCAGAUCACUUAUCAGCUGAAGAUUCUGACGACAGCUGUAUUUGCGGUCACCAUGCUCAACAAGAAGCUUAUCUCAACACAGUGGAUUUCUUUACUAAUCCUUAUUGGUGGAGUUGCCUUGGUUCAAUUAUCAGAUGUUAAAGAACAGGCAUCUCAAGGUCCUGAGCAAAGCAAGAUGGUUGGGUUUACUGCUGCUCUAACUGCUUGUAUACUCUCUGGAUUUGCUGGAGUUUACUUUGAAAAAAUACUUAAAGGUUCCGAUAUAUCCGUCUGGAUGAGGAACGUACAGCUUGCUCUUCUCUCCGUCCCGCUAGGAUUAAUUACAACCUAUCUCAAGGAUGGAUCAGUCAUCUCUGAAAAGGGAUUCUUCACUGGUUACGACAACUUUGUGUGGUUUACUGUGAUGCAGAACGCCCUAGGGGGUCUCCUCGUUGCCGUCGUCGUUAAAUACGCAGACAAUAUUCUCAAGGGAUUUGCAUGCUCCUUGGCUAUCAUCAUCACCUGUAUUGCCUCUAUCUUCAUCUUCGACUUCAACGUGACUGUCCAGUUCGCCCUCGGGGCGGGGCUCGUUAUAUCCUCGAUAUUUAUGUACGGAUACACACCAAAACCAUCUUCAUCAUUGCCGCAGAAAAUGUAAACAAAUCGCCAAUCGAUCAAUCAUAAGAAUCAUUUCUCCUCAAGUUUUCAGUAUUUUUAGUAUCUACUUUUUACAAUUUUAACCAGACUUGAUAGUUUUUUUUGUGAUUUGAAAAUAUUUAUCUGUGUUGUUCGUUCGUUUUUCUGAUUUUUUGAUUACUAAUUAGUGUGAUUUUUUAUAUUAUUGUUGACCGUUUAGGUCACUUGCAUUUAAUAAUAAAAACAUAACAAAUUAU
rnacentral:misc_RNA from 1 species